GCGGCGGACGGGUGAGUAACGCGUGAGCAACCUGCCCUUGAGCGGGGGAUAGCGUCUGGAAACGGACGGUAAUACCGCAUAAUGUACGUUGGAGGCAUCUCCGAUGUACCAAAGGAGGAAUCCACUCAAGGAUGGGCUCGCGUCCGAUUAGGUAGUUGGUGAGGUAACGGCCCACCAAGCCUGCGAUCGGUAGCCGGACUGAGAGGUUGUACGGCCACAUUGGGACUGAGACACGGCCCAGACUCCUACGGGAGGCAGCAGUGGGGGAUAUUGCACAAUGGAGGAAACUCUGAUGCAGCGACGCCGCGUGAGGGAAGAAGGUCUUCGGAUUGUAAACCUCUGUCUUUCGGGACGAAGGAAGUGACGGUACCGAAAGAGGAAGCCACGGCUAACUACGUGCCAGCAGCCGCGGUAAUAC
rnacentral:rRNA from 1 species